CACGGAGUUAGCCGAUCCUUAUUCCUUCGGUACAUUCAGCUUAUUACACGUAAUAAGGUUUAUUCCCGAAUAAAAGCAGUUUACAACCCAGAGGGCCGUCUUCCUGCACGCGGCAUGGCUGGUUCAGAGUUCCCUCCAUUGACCAAUAUUCCUUACUGCUGCCUCCCGUAGGAGUCUGGUCCGUGUCUCAGUACCAGUGUGGGGGGCCAUCCUCUCAGAUCCCCUAGUCAUCGUCGCCUUGGUGGGCCGUUACCCCGCCAACUAGCUAAUGACACGCAUGCCCAUCUUAAUCCUAUAAAUAUUUGAUCAUUGUCCAAAUGCUGAACUGUGAUUUUAUGCGGUGUUAAUCCGAAAUUUCUUCGGGCUAUCCCCCUGAUUAAGGUAGGUUGCAUACGCGUUACGCACCCGUGCGCCACUUUCAAUCCCAGCAAGCUGGGAAAUAUCGUUCGACUUGCAUGUAUUAGGCCUGCCGCUAGCGUUCAUCCCGAGCCAGGAUCAAAACUCU
rnacentral:rRNA from 1 species